AUCCAGCUGAUGAGUCCCAAAUAGGACGAAGCACGCGUUCUGAAU
rfam:Schistosoma mansoni, Puerto Rico, WGS project CABG01000000 data, contig: 0219